CGAACACCGACACAAUUGCCAUCAAUCACCACCGACGAAAUUACACACGUUGAUUGCGGGCCCCGCUUCCAAGUGAAUACGGACCACUAUUCUUACCAAAUCGUACGAACCGUAUGACUUGGGAUGUCGUCCCUGGCGGUGCUCGCCCGCGUCUUCGACGGGAAGCCUGCCAACGGCCGCGCCUGCCCUCAUCGUCGAGUGCCUCGCUGCCCUCGUCCACGUCCUCCCCGACGCCUUCGUUGGCGUGACUUCCCCUUCUCCGGCGUCCUCACCGCCCUUGAUGUCGGCGAAACCAUCGGCUGACCAUGGUGACGUCGAAGAACCAGUGCGCAUUCAGGCGACCUGUCGUCGCCUUUGCCUUCCACCAGAUCGCUCAGGUUUCCUACUUACUAAUCCCUCUCUCCUAAGCGGUAGUUUACAAAUAAAAGGAUCUAUUUUUUCAUAAAGCUGAUGGUGGAUUAGAGCUCUGAGGCUCACUUUUGUCCAAUUCUCAAGCCAAAUCAUUCUGACUGACUGGAUGGGAUGCUUAGACGAUAUGAACAAGCUUUCAAAAAUGGGUUGAAAUUUGCUUAAAGAAGACAUGUACAUGAAUAUCUGAAUCAUGGGUGGUGGUGUUUUACAGUUAUCUAAGCUUGUUGUGGUACCCCCAAAAACAAAAACAAAAAAAAUCAUAUUUGUUGAGAUUGUUGGUAAUGGUACUGAUUUGAAAGAGAUUAUAUCUUGUUUUCCUGGAUUCAAACUUUA